rnacentral:rRNA from 1 species
CCUACGGGUGGCUGCAGUGAGGAAUAUUGGUCAAUGGACGAGAGUCUGAACCAGCCAAGUAGCGUGAAGGAUGACUGCCCUAUGGGUUGUAAACUUCUUUUAUAUGGGAAUAAAAUGUUCCACGUGUGGGUUUCUGUAUGUACCAUAUGAAUAAGGAUCGGCUAACUCCGUGCCAGCAGCCGCGGUAAUACGGAGGAUCCGAGCGUUAUCCGGAUUUAUUGGGUUUAAAGGGUGCGUAGAUGGGUUGUUAAGUCAGCUGUGAAAGUUUGCGGCUCAACCGUAAAAUUGCAAUUGAUACUGGCAGUCUUGAGUACAGUUGAGGUAGGCGGAAUUCGUAGUGUAGCGGUGAAAUGCUUAGAUAUCACGAAGAACCCCGAUUGCGAAGGCAGCUUACUAACCUGUGACUGACAUUGAUGCACGAAAGUGUGGGUAUCGAACAGGAUUAGAUACCCGAGUAGUC